rnacentral:lncRNA from 1 species
UGAGUCCUCCCCAGUAGGAGGAGACAGGAGUCUCUCUGGAAGGCGAAUGCCACAGCUGCCCAGAUGUUCUCCUGCAGGGGAACCAGACACCAUCGUGACCCAAAAGGGCUGCACUUCUCGGGGUUUGCAGAAUGUGGCAGAGGUGGAAAAACUUGAAAGUCCUUAAACACAGAUUUUUUGGAAUUAAUUCGAAGUACAUUGCAAUCACGAUGGCCUUUUACUUCUAAAUUCUACACUCUGCACCUCUAAAAUAUAUAAGCAUGUCCCAGGACCACCCUCAACUACUUCAGGUCCCUCGGAAAAGGGUAAGGUCAGCCAGGCUGGACACCACGCUGUGGGUGGCCUUAGGUCCUGCAAGCAACUGUGGCCACCAGCGUCGCAGCGGCAAGGAGGCUUGUGUCACUUUUACAACCAGCGAAGUCACGUGUAGGUUCCGUGUCCAGGAAGAGAACCCCACCGCCUCCUUCUGGAUGGCAGGUGUCCCUCUCAGCUGAGCAGGUGUCUGGGACCAUGACAUCCACUUGGGCUCUCCUGGCCCCCAGAGAAGAUCUGUCCAGUGCAUGUGCUGGCUGCACCGUGACGUCCCCUAUGAACAGGGCCCACAGGCAGUGGCUGGCUGGGGGGAUGCCCUUGCCCUGAGUGGAGUCUCCCCAGAUGGCUGCUUCUUCCCCACCCCGAGGGUCACAGCCCAGCCCAAGCUCCAAGGGAAUGGAGCAGCUGCCUGCACCAAGCUUCCCUCCUCUGGAGAAAGUGCCUCCUCUUCUCCCUCACGUGCUCCCUGAUGACCGCCAGGCUCCUUGACAUGGUUCCCAGGACCAGCCUCUCCCAGGGUCCCUACUCCCAGUACCCCAGUCCUCACCAUUUGUGACCCUUCAGCCCCUGCUGAACCCUGCCAGCCCCAGGACAGGCUGUCAUGCCAUGUCCCAGCCAUGACGAACGGGGAACGGGGAACUGUCUGACCUUAGGCUGGGUUCAAAAGCAGGGUCAGCCCAGGCACAGAGCCUGUUUGUUUGAGUGAAUUGAGUGGGAGGCUGCUUUCUCAUCGGGCUGGGGAGGGUUCAGAGGAUUGUGGUCUCUUUGUUUUCAUUCAAGGCUCCAUCAGCCGGGGCCCAGGCAGGAACCAGAGUUCACUCAACCGUUCACAGUUCACAGAAGGGUGCCUUGCAGAGGCGCCGGCAGGGUGAGCAAGGAUGGCGUGGAACUCGAGGCGGGGGCCACAGUGGAUAUUGUUGCCACCUGUGGCCUGAGGAGCAGGGCAGGAGCCACGCUGCUGGGUCCCAGGGAGGCCAUGGGGGCACUCCACAGAAGCUGAGCCUGGAGAUGAGGGUCCCCGUGAGGCCAUGCAGGGCACUCCACAGAAGCUGGGCCUGGAGACUGGGGGUCCCAGUGAGGCCACGGGGGCACUCCACAGAAGCUGGGCCUGGAGACUGGGGGUCCCAGUGAGGCCACGGGGGCACUCCACAGAAGCUGGGCCUGGAGACUGGGGGGUCCCCGUAAGGCCAUGGGGGCACUCCACAGAAGCUGGGCCUGGAGACUGGGGGUCCCAGUGAGGCCAUGUGGGGCCCUCCACAGAAGCUGGACCUGGAGACUGGGGGUCCCAGGGAGGCCAUGGGGGCACUCCACAGAAGCUGGGUCUGGAGACUGGGGGUCCCCGUGAGGCCAUGCAGGACACUCCACAGAAGCUGGGUCUGGAGACUGGGGGUCCCCGUGAGGCCAUGCGGGACACUCCACAGAAGCUGGGCCUGGAGACUGGGGGUCCCCGUGAGGCCAUGUGGGACACUCCACAGAAGCUGGGUCUGGAGACUGGGGGUCCCCGUGAGGCCAUGCGGGGCACUCCACAGAAGCUGGGUCUGGAGACUGGGGGUCCCCGUGAGGCCAUGCGGGGCACUCCACAGAAGCUGGGCCUGGAGACUGGGGUCCCAGCUCUUGCCAGCAGCACAGCCCCAUGCAGGAAGGGCAUGAGGAAUAAAUGCCCCGACCUC